rnacentral:rRNA from 1 species
GACGAACGCUGGCGGCGUGCUUAACACAUGCAAGUCGAACGGAAAGGCCCUGCUUUUGUGGGUUGCUCGAGUGGCGAACGGGUGAGUAACACGUGAGUAACCUGCCCUUGACUUUGGGAUAACUUCAGGAAACUGGGGCUAAUACCGGAUAGGAUCUCCUGCUGCAUGGUGGUGGUUGGAAAGUUUCGGCGGUUGGGGAUGGACUCGCGGCUUAUCAGCUUGUUGGUGGGGUAGUGGCUUACCAAGGCUUUGACGGGUAGCCGGCCUGAGAGGGUUACCGGCCACAUUGGGACUGAGAUACGGCCCAGAAUCCUACGGGAGGCAGCAGUGGGGAAUAUUGCACAAUGGGCGGAAGCCUGAUGCAGCAACGCCGCGUGCGGGAUAACGGCCUUCGGGUUGUAAACAGAUUUCGAAUGUGACGAAGCGUGAGUGACGGUAAUGGGUAAAGAAGCAACGGCUAACUACGUG